GAUGAAGAACGCAGCGAAAUGCGAUAACUAAUGUGAAUUGCAGAAUUCCGUGAAUCAUCGAAUCUUUGAACGCACAUUGCGCCCCUUGGUAUUCCAUGGGGCAUGCCUGUUCGAGCGUCAUUUGUACCUUCAAGCUCUGCUUGGUGUUGGGUGUUUGUCUCGCCUCUGCGUGUAGACUCGCCUCAAAACAAUUGGCAGCCGGCGUAUUGAUUUCGGAGCGCAGUACAUCUCGCGCUUUGCACUCAUAACGACGACGUCCAAAAGUACAUUUUUACACUCUUGACCUCGGAUCAGGUAGGGAUACCCGCUGAACUUAAGCAUAUCAAUAAGCGGAGGA
rnacentral:misc_RNA from 1 species